AUUGAACGCUGGCGGCAGGCCUAACACAUGCAAGUCGAACGAGUGGCGGACGGGUGAGUAAUGUCUGGGAAACUGCCUGAUGGAGGGGGAUAACUACUGGAAACGUUAGCUAAUACCGCAUACCAUCAGAUGUGCCCAGAUGGGAUUAGCUAGUUGGUGGGGUAAAGGCUCACCAAGGCGACGAUCCCUAGCUGGUCUGAGAGGGUGACCAGCCACACUGGAACUGAGACACGGUCCAGACUCCUACGGGAGGCAGCAGUGGGGAAUAUUGGACAAUGGGCGAAAGCCUGAUACAGCCAUGCCGCGUGUAUGAAGAAGGCCUUCGGGUUGUAAAGUACUUUCGGCGGGGAGGCGUUACCCGCAGAAGAAGCACCGGCUAACUCCGUGCCAGCAGCCGCGGUAAUUC
rnacentral:rRNA from 1 species